rnacentral:rRNA from 1 species
GCGGACGGCUCAGUAACACGUAGUCAACCUAACUCGUGGACGUGGAUAACCUCGGGAAACUGAGAAUAAACCACGAUAGAUCAUAGUGCCUGGAAUGGCUUAUGGUCCAAACAGUUUACUGCCAUGGGAUGGGACUGCGGCCUAUCAGCUUGUUGGUGAGGUAAUGGCCCACCAAGGCGAUUACAGGUACGGGCUCUGAGAGGAGAAGCCCGGAGAUGGGUACUGAGACACGGACCCAGGCCCUAUGGGGCGCAGCAGGCGAGAAACCUUAGCAAUGUGCGAAAGCACGACUGGGUCAGUCCGAGUGAUUCCUGAUAAAGGAGUCUUUUGCUUGUCCUAAAAGCACAGGUGAAUAAGGGGUGGGCAAGUCUGGUGUCAGCCGCCGCGGUAAUACCAGCACCUCGAGUGGUCAGGACGUUUAUUGGGCCUAAAGCAUCCGUAGCCGGCUUUGCAAGUCUUCGGUUAAAUCCACCUGCUCAACAGAUGGGCCGCUGGAGAUACUACAGAGCCAGGGAGUGGGAGAGGCAGACGGUAUUCAGUGGGUAGGGGUAAAAUCCUCUGAUCCAUUGAGGACCACCAGUGGCGAAGGCGGUCUGUCAGAACACGUUCGACGGUGAGGGAUGAAAGCUGGGGGAGCAAACCGGAUUAGAUACCCGGGUAGUCCCAGCUGUAAACGAUGCAAACUCGGUGAUGCAUUGGCUUAUGGCCA